GGUGACCCUAGGGUCCCCCCGCAAUGAUAACUUGUGAACUCGGCCAGGCCCGGAAGGGAGCAACCGCAGCAGGCGACUCAUGUGCCGGGGUGUUGGCUCUAGGGGAACCUCCAAUCC
rnacentral:SRP_RNA from 1 species